CAGCAGCCGCGGUAAUACGAAGGGGGCUAGCGUUGCUCGGAAUGACUGGGCGUAAAGGGCGCGUAGGCGGAUUGUUUAGUUAGGCGUGAAAUUCCUGGGCUUAACCUGGGGACUGCGCUUAAUACAGGCAGUCUAGAGUGAGGAAGAGGGUUGUGGAAUUCCCAGUGUAGAGGUGAAAUUCGUAGAUGUUGGGAAGAACACCGGUGGCGAAGGCGGCAACCUGGUCCUUGACUGACGCUGAGGCGCGAAAGCGUGGGGAGCAAACAGGAUUAGAUACCCGGGUAGUCCCUGUCUCUUAUAC
rnacentral:rRNA from 1 species